GGGACUCAGUCAGUAGAGCAUGAGACUUCUAAUUUCAGGGUCGUGAGUUUGAGCCCCACCUUGGGCG